GAUGAACGCUGGCGGCGUGCUUAACACAUGCAAGUCGAACGGUGAAGCAGGAGCUUGCUCCUGUGGAUCAGUGGCGAACGGGUGAGUAACACGUGAGCAAUCUGCCCUGGACUCUGGGAUAAGCGUUGGAAACGACGUCUAAUACCGGAUACGAGGCGUGGGGGCAUCCCCAACGCCUGGAAAGAAUUUCGGUCCAGGAUGAGCUCGCGGCCUAUCAGGUAGUUGGUGAGGUAACGGCUCACCAAGCCUACGACGGGUAGCCGGCCUGAGAGGGUGGCCGGCCACACGGGGACUGAGACACGGCCCAGACUCCUACGGGAGGCAGCAGUGGGGAAUAUUGCUCAAUGGGCGCAAGCCUGAUGCAGCAACGCCGCGUGAGGGACGACGGCCUUCGGGUUGUAAACCUCUUUUAGCAGGGAAGAAGCGAAAGUGACGGUACCUGCAGAAAAAGCACCGGCUAACUACGUGCCAGCAGCCGCCGUAACAC
rnacentral:rRNA from 1 species